rnacentral:rRNA from 1 species
UAGGGAAUAUUGCAAAAUGGGCGAAAGCCCGAUGCAGCAACGCCGCGUGGGCGAUGAAGGCCUUCGGGUCGUAAAGCCCUUUUUGAGGGGAUGAGGAAGGACAGUACCCUCAGAAUAAGCCUCGGCUAACUACGUGCCAGCAGCCGCGGUAAAACGUAGGAGGCGAGCGUUAUCCGGAUUUACUGGGCGUAAAGCGCGUGCAGGCGGAUUGGAGAGUUGGAUGUGAAAGCUCCCGGCUUAACUGGGAGAGGUCGUUCAAUACUUCCAGUCUUGAGUGCAGUAGAGGGAAGUCGAAUUCCGGGUGUCGUGGUGAAAUGCGUAGAUAUCCGGAGGAAGACCAGUGGCGAAAGCGGCUUCCUGGACUGUAACUGACGCUCAGACGCGAAAGCUAGGGUAGCAAACG